UUGAUUUUUGCUUAACGGGUCAAUUUCGGUUAUAGUUUUUGCACACACUACAUAACCUCUCUUCGUUUCACCGUCACCCUCCAUACACCACCAUAAAGGUUACCGAUUGACUGAACUGGGUUCAUCACAGUUGCAAACAAUUACCUCAGUGGUACCAUACCAACUGAAUUGGGUUCAUCACAGUUGCAAUCAAUCUCUCUUCUUGGAAACCGCUUUUUUGGAAAGAUAGCAGCAGAACUGGGAAAUAUUACAACUUUGACAUAUUUGAACCUUGAAGCAAAUAACUUUUCGGGGACUGUUCCUUCUUAUUUGGGGAGAUUAAUAAAUUUACAAACAUUGAUUUUGUCCUCAAACCGGUUGACGGGAACGUUGCCAACAUCCCUUGCUGAAUUAAGCAAUUUAAAAGAUUUGAUAAGUGACAACAAUCUCAGUGGGUCCAUAUCUAAUUUCAUAGAGAAUUGGAGACAACUCAAUAAACUAACUAAUUGGGACGGGGCUUUCGUGACCGAUUCCUUCAUCCAUUUCCCUUCUGAACUUAACUGAUGUGAGAAGUUGUGAACUAAGUGGACUAACUCAAAGAUUCCCUCCGUUAGAUAAUGUUUGUAUUGAGAAACAGCAACAUUUCUGGUGAGAUGCCUGUGGGCGAUCUUCAAUUAUUGUAAGUAACAUAUGCAAUGAUUCCAUUGAUAUGUAAUAGUACUAACUUUUGUAUGCAACUUAAUCUGUUAUUGAGUAACCCCUU
rnacentral:lncRNA from 1 species